rnacentral:rRNA from 1 species
UACGUAGGGGGCGAGCGUUGUCCGAAGUUACUGGGCGUAAAGCGCGCGUAGGCGGGCUAUUAAGUUGGAUGUGAAAUCUCCACGGCUCAACCGGGAAACUGCAUCCAAAACUGUUAGCCUUGAGGUAUGGAGAGGGAAGUGGAAUUCCUGGUGUAGCGGUGAAAUGCGUAGAUAUCAGGAGGAACACCCGUGGCGAAGGCGGCUUCCUGGCCAUAUCCUGACGCUGAGGUGCGAAAGCCAGGGGAGCGAACGGG